CCUGGCUUCACACACACCCUGCCCGGCCAUCUAGAUGUGUGAAGCCACGUUUCAUGUGCCCGCUCAUUCACUGGCAAGUUGAAUGUUUCCUGUCCAAGCACUUCAAAUCCUGUCCUGCCCUCAGUGGAAGAGUUGAGCUCUCUCCAAACACCAUCCAUCCAUCCAUCCAUGAUGAGCCUGUCCUGCACUGAAGUCUAUGAACACCUCAACCCCCAUCCUUCACUGAAGUCGAACCUCUGAACACCUCAACUCAACUCAUGCCUCAUACCCUCAUUCAAUCCCUGCUGUGAUCCCUUCCCAACACUGUAGGUAGCUCUCUCAUUCCCAUUCCCCAUAAUACUGUGCUAUAAACAUCUUUAUUAAAUGCUUGAGGUUAAAAUAAACAGUCUUUGACGAUUUUUCCUCAAUUGUUCAAGUCACCAGCCUCCACUGGUGUCCACAUACUUUUGUAUAUAUAGUGUAUUUCAUCUGUUAUAUGUGUGAAAUCAGUUUUGGUAUAAUUUCGGUUCUGUUUUCUUGGCAAUUACCGGGGUGAUUAUCAACUUGGCAUGGCACCUUCCACUGUUGGGAGAAAGAGCAGAGCAGGCCCUACUGUCAGGAGGAGGGGCAACGGGGGAAAACCUUUAAAAAAUGGCAUGCCCUUCUAAAACUGGUUAUAAUUACAGCUCUGUUUAUGAUAUUAAGAAUCUAACAAUAGCAGUCUGUUAUAUAGACUUAUUAAGGAAAAGUCAAGGAGGGGGGGCAUGACUUUAAAAUUGGCAGAGAAGGAGGACCAGAAGGAGCCGCUGCUCAGUGCAACGCAGCCUCCAUCCUCAUGGAUGAAGACCACGUGGAGCUGGUGUAGCGAACCAUGGCAGCAGUGGCCCUGCCCUCUCUGGCCAUCCUGACCGGGGCUCAGGAGAUCUCAGACGACUAGUGGAAGGACAUGGUCCAGAAGACGCUCCAGACUCGCCAAAGCUCAGAAGGCCUGACUAUGGAGCGCAAAUAAGCCUGAAUUGCCUCCUUUCCCACAGUGUUUUUAACUGUGUCCUGCAUUUCACCAUCACCCUUACCCCAGGGAAGUCUGAGCUGAGGUCCUCUGAACAGGUCAUGAGUCCUAGGUGUCUCAAUUCUCAAGAUAUGAGAGAAAUUGUGCAAACCCCUUUAUGUCCAAUUCAUAUUAUAUUAGGAUAUAUCUCAUAAAUAUUUGUGUUUGAAAGGAGCCUCUGGGUACUCACUGAUCCUAACCUAGAGGGCGGCAGGUAGCUUAGUGGUUAAGCGCGUCGGGCCAAUAACUGAAAGAUUGCUGGUUUGAAUCCCCAAGCCAACUAGGUGAAACAUCUGCCUGUGCCCUUGAGCAUGCCACUUAACCUUAA